rnacentral:rRNA from 1 species
GACGAGGGGUCCUAGCGUUGUUCGGAAUCAUUGGGCGUAAAGCGUGUGUAGGUAGCCAUACAAGUCAGUUGUGAAAGCCCCGGGCUCAACCCGGGAAGUGCUUCUGAGACUGUUUGGCUUGAGUACUGGAGAGGAUAGUAGAAUUCCAGGUGUAGUGGUGAAAUACGUAGAUAUCUGGAGGAAUACCGGUGGCGAAGGCGGCUAUCUGGCCAUGUACUGACGCUGAGACACGAAAAGCGUGGGGAGCAAACAGGG